rnacentral:rRNA from 1 species
AUACGAAGGGUGCAAGCGUUGUUCGGAUUUAUUGGGCGUAAAGCGCGCGCAGGCGGAUUAAUAAGCCAGAUGUGAAAUCUCGGGGCUCAACCUCGAAACUGCGUCUGGAACUGUUAGUCUAGAAUAUCGGAGAGGGAAGUGGAAUUUCGCAUGUAGGGGUAAAAUCCGUAGAGAUGCGAAGGAACAUCGGAGGCGAAGGCGACUUCCUGGACGAUUAUUGACGCUGAGGCGCGAAAGCGUGGGGAGCAAACAGGAUUAGAUACCCCAGUAGUCC